GUUCUCUUUGGAAACGUUAGCAAAGAAAGCUUAAACAAGACCGGGGCUUGGCUUGUGUUAGUUGUAGCCUACCUAACCUAUAACUCUAAUAGAAUAUAAAUAUAAUGUAAUAUAAUAUAAGUAGGCUUUCAUUCUAGAAGCGGUAGCUUUCAAGCCAGAAAAAAGGUCUCCUUCCUUUCUUAGCCAGGCCGACCGGGGAAGCGAGAAGGGUGAGCUUCACUAGCUUCUACCAAGGAGGCCGGAAGCG
rnacentral:lncRNA from 1 species